rnacentral:rRNA from 1 species
UACGGGGGGGGCAAGCGUUGUUCGGAAUUACUGGGCGUAAAGGGUGCGUAGGCGGCGCGGUAAGUCGGGUGUGAAAUCUCGGAGCUUAACUCCGAAACUGCAUUCGAUACUGCCGUGCUUGAGGACUGGAGAGGAGACUGGAAUUUACGGUGUAGCGGUGAAAUGCGUAGAUAUCGUAAGGAAGACCAGUGGCGAAGGCGGGGUCUCUGGACAGUUCCUGACGCUGAGACGCGAAAGCGUGGGGAGUAAACAGG